CAGGUUUAUUUUGGCUCAUGUUUUGUGGAGGUCUCAGUCCACAGCUGGUGGCUCCAAGGCAGAAGUGGCACGUGGGAAGGGCCUGGGUGGAGGAGCUGCUCCCCUGCAGGAAGCAGACUGAAAGAAGCAAUGGAGGUGAGCUUGUGGACCCGGGCUCGGGUGUUUCCUUCCCAUUAUGGGUAGAAACUCGAGUCAGGGGCAGAGGGAGCGUUGCAUGACUUGGCCUCGCAUCUGGUGUGUGGGCACCGCACACAGCACGGCCGAGGGGGCCACCAGCUGUCCUUCCUCUGGUGUCCUCGGACCUCCCCGUCUUCCUGUGUGGUGGCUGCGCGGCACUGGGAGAGGAGAGGCCUUUGCGUGCCGCCCUCCGGGAGCUCCGACCCUCUGCUCCUCAGAGGCCGAGUCUCUGUGGGGUCUGGGGAGCAAACCACGGCCCUUCCACCAGUGGAAGGCAGGAGGGGUGCGGACAGCUUCCCCUCCGCUGCGCUGCACAGCUCCUGGCCCCUGCAGACUUCAGACGUGACACCACUCUCACUGGGCCCCAGUUGGCUGCUCCCCACACAAUUUGAAUUUCUAGACUGGCCCUGCUGGAGCCAGCGCCCCAAGACGCCUGAGCGCUUCGCUGCGGGACUCCUUGACACGUGGGCCCCUCCCGCCCCGUGAUGGGUGGAGAAAUCAGGUGCUUUACUGCCACCCCUGCCUCCACUUGGGAAGGACAGGCUGCCACCAGGGUCUGCCAGCCCAACACGGGGAUCCACGGGGCCCCAGGACUGUCAGGACUCAUCGACCCAGCUGUCACCCACAGGAGCCCCCAGAGUCUGUGCUGCACUCACCGGCAAAGCACUCAGCAAGAGGUUGUGGAGGAGAUCUUGUCUGCAAAGGAGGAGGAGAAAAUGGCAGAGGAAUUCCUUGCUUCAAAUGAGAUUAGGGAGAAGUGUAAAAUGUGGGAAAGUGCAGAAUUGUGUAGGAAAGCAGCACCCGAAUAAGGCCGUAGCAGUGCGAGUGAUGGAUCUUUAAUGACAAUGCAACGUCACAUUUCUGUGAAACCCACAAAAGGAGGCAAAAGCAAGUGCCAUUGGACAGGCUCCUUGUUAAAGCUGCAUGAAAAGAAGACGAUUCCAUGGAGCCGACAGACAGCAGUGAGUCCAUCGGUGGUAGUGACAGUCGUCAUGCACAGUGACCCUCCUCUCCCUUGAUUCCCUCACUCCAGCCACGGAGGUUUCCAAAGGUUGUGGAAUGAAUCAUCUGAGUUUCCAUUAUUUCCUAUGGAGAAAUUUGCUUUGAUAUAGAAGUGCUUUGAAUUACAAGUAUGUUUCUAGAAUGAAUUAUGCUCACAAGCCAAGGUUUUACUGUAGAAGGAUUUACAAGGUGGCUUACAGUGGCCGCUGCAGAGUCCCUUGUGGAAGAGCGCAGGAGGGCAUCUGCCUCCUGGAGGUCCGAACCAUCCAGUUAGAGCUCGAGAGCCUGGGGCUCACUAGUGUCCCGUGCAAGUCCGAACAGGAAGCUGAAGAACCUGGGCUGGAAACCAGGGACGAUGUCCUAGUGCAGGUGAAGGCUGGAGCUCCUCUGACGAACAGAAGGAGCCCUCCUUCACCCUCGUUGUCCUGUCUGGGCUGCAGGCGUAUGCAUCGGUGCCGCCCCAACCCAGGGUGGGGCCCCUGUUCUUCACACCUGACGAUGCUAAGCCAGUCAGUGGACUAAUUUAGCUACCACACAGCCUAGAUCCAGCCACCUUCCCUAAGCCCCACCUUUGAGCACACGAGGCUUUGAGGGACACCUAGACUCCAGCCACAGCACCCUCGUACCUAAUGUCACUCACCUCUUGUGCAGAAGGACCUCCACUGUGGAGUACAUCGUCACCGAGGCACCUGCACUGUGGACCUUGGCCUUGGGCAGGUGACAUCCAGGCUUCCACCCCCUUGUCUGUGAAACAGGGCUUGUCAGUCCCACGCAGCAAUGUCUGGCAGAGGACAGAGAUCGGGGGUGGUGGUGGACACGGCGGUGUUUUUGUGACCAUCCCGCCUCCCAAGGACAAGCCCAUCAGACUCGACUGUGGGGCUCCAGGCUCUUCUCACGUCGUCAUGGUUAAGUGUCACUUGUGGAUGGGCUGUGAUGGGCCCACACUCCCACUGGAGCCUCUCCCCACUGCCGCACCGAGCCAGUGGGGAGACAGAAGCAGCCCCAUGAGGUGCUGUCUGCAGGCUGGGAGCCAGCCGCUCUGUCAGCAAAAUGGGCCCAGCUCAGGAUGGGGAUGGGGACGUCCCCAGCCGGGACUCCUCCCUGGGCCACUGGGCCACUGGGCCACUGGGCUGUGCUGUGUGCACUGGCAAUGCCCUCCUGCUCUGCCACGCUGUGUCCAGAGCGUGAGUCCGCAUGGGUGUUCCAGAGCUGUGAUGUCAGCCUCCAGGCCUCAGCAUCCCCAAUGAAGCCAGAGAAGCCCCCUGAGGUGCCACUAACAAAGACACUGAGCGCAGUGUAGCAAGGGGGCGGGUGUGUGCUUCAGCUGGACACCGAGCACCCAUGCAUCUGUGCCCUCCGCCUCCUCAAGCCAUCUGCCAGGUGAUGAUGAACAGAAAGCUGCGUCCGUCUACACGGGUCCCGGAAGCCCAGGGCCCACACGGUGACAGACUUCAGCAGAAGAAAUCCUCCUAAGUCCCCAAACAAGGUCUAGGACGGCUAAAUGCGGUUAUGGAGACAAGGCAGGGCAUGGCAGACCAGAGGCUCGGCACUCCAAGUGGUCAAGGCCGGGAGGCAUAGAUGGCAGCUCACAAGACUGAGGCGAGGAGCUGAAGAGAAGGAGCAAAGUCCAGAUGCAAAGCUUAAGGUGCCCGGGAGAAACCAGAGCAUGGCAGAGGCUCACAGCAGGAG
ensembl:lncRNA